UGUGCCUUCGACGUGCAUUGACUCAUCGCCACAUGAGUUUUGUUCUUCGUUGAAGCUUCAUGCGAUGGAGUCUCUGCCGCAAGGAGUAGCUGAAAGAUGGCUCCACACACCACAGGCCGUGGAUCUCGGGAGACAGGAGACCGAGACCACCGGGAGUUGUCUACUUGUAGCAGAAUUCAAAACUUUCUGCAGCUGCUGCUGCUGACUUUGAGUUUGAAGAGCUGCAUUGUUGAUUUCUCCUGUUUCUGGAUCAUGGAUGGCAUUGCCUCAUCGGUCUUUGUGUGGUAAAGCUACUCUUGUUGCCUUUGAUCUUUGACGGAAAACUUGACAACGAAUGUCGUAACGUUUGAGACAGUAUGGCUGCUGCUGCGCAGAAACUGCAGAUGCUACCAUCAAAACAGCAUCAAGAGCAUUAUUAGAAGUUUGACGAGAUCCAGAAAAUCGGUCCCCCUGCUCUUUCACGGUGCUUACCACCGCACUCUCAAAACUAAGCAGCUUUCUUUGCUGUAUCACGUUUGAAGCUUCAUCCGAGGUCUCCUCGCAUAAGUUGUCAACUAAAAAGUGUUGCGAGUUCGGAGUAUCAGUCUUAUGAUCACAAUGUUUGGUUUGGGAUCUCUUUUUCCUGAUGGUUUCUCUGCUUUGGAACAGACUGAUUUGUACACAUGAGUAUCUGGGCAGGAUAAUUCUCAACCACAUACUUCUCCGGUAUACUUCUCCAGUAGGAAGAAGUAGGAAUUGUAAUUUACGAGCUUGUAAUAAUUAUUUCACUUCGGUUCCACUUCAAUGAAGAAUCGGAUAUAGUGAACAUCUUUACCACA